rnacentral:lncRNA from 1 species
CUGUACAGUGUAGCGCGAUCGGAAGUAUUUUAUCCCUCCAUACAAGGAAUGGUGAACAUGCUAAAUCAUUGCUUAUUUAAAUUAUAUUUAUUUGAAUUUUCAUCAUAGAAUUAGAAGUAUCAAUAUGUUCAUUUAUUGCCGUUUUUAACCAUUCAAAUGCCAAGUCUUCAUGGUCCCCCCUUAGUCGAGAAUGACCAAAAGCUGUCAUGAAGGUCCCCAUGUAGAUUUCUUGUAUUUUUGGAAAUUGUUAUGGGGGUUAAAAAUCAUAUGAUGUGGAGCUUAUUUUUCAUGGACACUGUCAAGUUCAGAACCCAUUACCGGCAUGGCUGAUUUGCAGCAACAACAAAACGAUUCGUACGGGUUAUGUAAAAGGUUAAAGAGAUUUGUAAAGCAAAUGAAAAGGUUUUUAAU